rnacentral:misc_RNA from 1 species
GUUUUAGUUGUACAUUAUGCACAAUAGACAUUCCAUUACAUUCAGAGUGUGUAGAGGUACUCGAGCGCCAGGCCGGCAAGGGCCAUGCAAAGCGGCGACUCAGAGUCAUAGAUGCACAGGUGUGUGUGGAUUUGCGACCCGUCGACGUGCACAUGCGGAUCUCUCCGCCAGCACAGAACGAACGAGCCGACUUUUGAAGUUUCAUUAAUGAUCCUUCCGCAGGUUCACCUACGGAAA